GGAGCCGUCGUCUAGCCUGGAUAAGACCCCUGACUGUCGAUCAGGUGAUCGCGGGUUCAAAUCCCGUCGGCUCCG
rnacentral:tRNA from 1 species